rnacentral:rRNA from 1 species
AAGCUUGCUUUCUUUGCUGACGAGCGGCGGACGGGUGAGUAAUGCCUGGGAAUAUGCCUUAGUGUGGGGGAUAACUAUUGGAAACGAUAGCUAAUACCGCAUAACGUCUUCGGACCAAAGAGGGGGACCUUCGGGCCUCUCGCGCUAAGAUUAGCCCAGGUGGGAUUAGCUAGUUGGUGAGGUAAAGGCUCACCAAGGCAACGAUCCCUAGCUGGUCUGAGAGGAUGAUCAGCCACACUGGAACUGAGACACGGUCCAGACUCCUACGGGAGGCAGCAGUGGGGAAUAUUGCACAAUGGGGGAAACCCUGAUGCAGCCAUGCCGCGUGUAUGAAGAAGGCCUUCGGGUUGUAAAGUACUUUCAGUCGUGAGGAAGGGUGUGCAGUUAAUAGCUGUACAUCUUGACGUUAGCGACAGAAGAAGCACCGGCUAACUCCGUGCCAGCAGCCGCGGUAAU